rnacentral:rRNA from 1 species
UUGUUUAAAUAAAAGAUCUGGCCUGCCCAAUGAUUUUUUUAAUGGCUGCAGUAUAUUGACUGUACAAAGGUAGCAUAAUCAUUUGUCCUUUAAUUGAGGUCUGGAAUGAAUGGUUGGAUGAAAAGUAGACUUUCUUUAUUUUAUAAAUAAAAUUUAAUUUCUGAAUCAAAAAGUUUAGAUUUUAGUAUAGGACGAGAAGACCCUAUAGAGCUUUAUUCUCUCUAAAGUAAUUAUUUACUUGUAAAUAAUUAUUUAUUAUUUUAGAGAGAAUUUUGUUGGGGUGACAAAAAAAAUUUAAUAACUUUUUUUAUAUUUAUUAUUUAUAUAUAAUUUUUUGAUCCUUUAGUAAGGAUAAUAAGACUAAGUUACCUUAGGGAUAACAGCGUUAUUAUUUUAGAGAGUUCAUAUUGAUAAAAUAGUUUGCGACCUCGAUGUUGGAUUAAAAUUAGUUUCAGGGGCAGAAUAUUGAUUUACUGGGUCUGUUCGACCUUUAAAUUUU